AACAUAGUAGAAAUUUAGCAAUUUUUUGUUUUUCGUUUACGUGGAUUUGUAAACUUUCUGUACAGUUUUUCAAUAAAAUUAAUAUAAUUUAACAAAUUUUUAAUUAAAGCAACACACAAAAAUACACUGUUCAACAUGAUUGAAGUGACAGAUAUACAGAAAAUUGGUAUUGGUUUGUCCGGUAUGGGCAUAGGUUUUCUAUUCCUGGGUGUACUAUUUCUAUUCGAUAAGGGUUUACUGGCCAUAGGAAAUAUUCUCUUCUUAUCUGGCUUGGGUUGUGUUAUCGGCAUAGAACGCACAUUUCGCUUCUUUUUCCAACGUCAUAAAAUUAAAGGGUCUAUAGCAUUCUUUGGUGGCAUUUUUGUGGUUCUUUUGGGUUUUCCCAUUAUAGGCAUGAUUAUAGAAUCCUAUGGAUUCUUUGCCUUAUUUAGUGGUUUCUUCCCGGUGGCCAUAAGUUUCCUUAGCCGAGUACCCAUUUUGGGCUCACUAAUCAACACACCAUUUAUGCAAAAGCUCGUUGAAAAACUUGGAGGUGACGCUAAUCGAACGAGGGUAUAGUUUUAAUAUAAUUUGUUUUCUAAUUAUAAUUUCUCAUCUAAGGAUUUAUCAAUAUAAAAUUUAGUUUAAAUUUACUUAACUCAAGAGAAAACAAAACAAAAAUGUUUCUUAUAGAAAAAAUCAAAAAGAUUUCGUUUUUCAAACAUUUUUUCUAUAACAACUUUAAAACAAAACACUUUUGUAUGUGAACAGAUUCCACUAUGACAUGAAAAUACCCGACCUAUCGAUGAGGAGUGAACACAUAAUUUGAAAACACACAUUUGUAUUUGCGCUACAGGUUGUAGUAACGGCGAAGGUGUAUGAUGUACAAACUCUAAUUGUAAAGAAUCUUAACAAAAAAAAUUUAAUAAAUAUAAUUGAUUAAAAAACUUUAACAAAA